rnacentral:sRNA from 1 species
AUUUCUGUAUAUGUAUGUUUGAGCGUUUGGAUAUAUAUAUAUAUAUGGACGUAUAUGUGUUUCUGUAUAUGUAUGUAUUUUAU